GACGAACGCUGGCGGCGUGCUUAACACAUGCAAGUCGAACGGAAAGGCCCGGCUUUUGUUGGGUGCUCGAGUGGCGAACGGGGGAGUGACACGUGAGUAACCUGCCCUUGACUGAGGGAGAACUUCAGGGGAAUGGGGAUAAUACAGGAGAGGAGCUCCUGCUGCAUGGGGGGGGUUGGAAAGAUUCGGCGGUUGGGGAUGUACUCGCGGGUUAUGAGCUAGUUGGUGGGGUAGGGGCUUACAACGGCUUUGACGGGUAGCCGGCAUGGGAGGGUGACCGGCGACCAUGGGCCUAAGAUACGGAGCAGACUCCUAUGGGAGGCAGCAGUGGGGAAUAUUGCACAAUGGGCGGAAGCCUGAUGCAGCAACGCCGCGUGCGUGAUGAUGGCUUACGGGUUGUAAACCGCUUUCGCCUGUGCCGUAGCCGGAGUGACGGUAAUGGGUAAAGAAGCAACGGCUAACUACGUG
rnacentral:rRNA from 1 species